rnacentral:rRNA from 1 species
ACUCCUACGGGGAGGCAGCAGUGGAGGAAUAUUGGUCAAUGGGCGCAAGCCUGAACCAGCCAUGCCGCGUGCAGGAUGACGGGCUUCCGUAUGGAAUUGUAAACUUGCUUUUGUACGGGAAGAAACACUCCUUCGUGAAGGAGCUUGUACGGUUACCGUAAGAAUAAGGAUCGGCUAACUCCGUGCCAGCAGCCGCGGUAAUACGGAGGGAUCCAAGCGUU